UGGGGAAUUUUGGACAAUGGGCGAAAGCCUGAUCCAGCAAUGCCGCGUGUGUGAAGAAGGCCUUCGGGUUGUAAAGCACUUUUGUCCGGAAAGAAAUCCUUGGCUCUAAUACAGUCGGGGGAUGACGGUACCGGAAGAAUAAGCACCGGCUAACUACGUGCCAGCAGCCGCGGUAAUACGUAGGGUGCAAGCGUUAAUCGGAAUUACUGGGCGUAAAGCGUGCGCAGGCGGUUUGCUAAGACCGAUGUGAAAUCCCCGGGCUCAACCUGGGAACUGCAUUGGUGACUGGCAGGCUAGAGUAUGGCAGAGGGGGGUAGAAUUCCACGUGUAGCAGUGAAAUGCGUAGAGAUGUGGAGGAAUACCGAUGGCGAAGGCAGCCCCCUGGGCCAAUACUGACGCUCAUGCACGAAAGCGUGGGGAGCAAACAGGAUUAGAUACCCUGGUAGUCCACGCCCUAAANGAUGUCAACUAGUUGUUGGGGACUUCAUUUUCCUUAGUAACGUAGCUAACGCGUGAAGUUGACCGCCUGGGGAGUACGGUCGCAAGAUUAAAACUCAAAGGAAUUGACGGGGUCAUAGCUGUUUCCU
rnacentral:rRNA from 1 species